UAAUGCUGUUGGUUGAGGACGACGAAAAAGCAAGAAACGGGAGAUGAAAUCAGAGAAAGAUGCGCCGCCGGAAGAAAAAAACAGAGAAGGAUAUGGAAUGGAGUGGUAAAAAAUAGGGUUGAGGAUUGAAAUGCUCCUAAAUACUCGCUUUCCACAAUGCACCCUAUCGUCCGCUAAACAUUAGACCGCACUGUGUACUAUCACUUCCGGCGCGUCAGAAAUUACACGGAAAUGUCAGUUAUUUAGCACGGACGGUCGACAUUCAAACGGUGCAUUUGGACGGUUAGGAUGGAGAUCGCACAUAGUGCGCAUUUAAAGGCUCUCACCAGAAGCGUUCUG
rnacentral:lncRNA from 1 species